rnacentral:tRNA from 1 species
GGCGCCGUGGCUUAGUUGGUUAAAGCGCCUGUCUAGUAAACAGGAGAUCGGGGGUGCGAAUCCCCCCGGGGCCU